CACAGAACAAUUAUCAAUCCAUGCUUGACUGCAUUGAUAAGCACCUUGACAGAAGAUCUGGGAAAAUUUUCAUGCGGGUACGCUUAGAAAUAUACGUUUUGUUUACUUAUUCUGCUUUUGUAAAGCUGUUAGAUGAAGAUGCAUAAUAGAAGUUGAAAUUAAAUGGUUGUGUGUAAGAAGCCAGUUAAGCUGGUGGUUUGGCAAGGUUAAAAUCCUCACUGAGCAGUGGUCUUGCAAAGUAUAUGAGGUAAUUAUAGAAUAGAAUGCCUUUAGAUGGUGGUUUGCUGCAAGCAGGAGAAUGGGAUUGCAUGUUCUUUGCUAAGAAAGUCCUGGGAAUGCUAGGGUAGGAUCUUUUCUCUGGAUAGAUUAAACCGUAUUCAUCAUUUAAAAACUCUGAAAUUGCGCACCAAGGCAAAAUGCCCCAGAAUGGCAGAAAUGGUAAAGGUCCUUUACAAGUAGGCACAUGAUAUGCUUCAUCUGAAAUUAAAAAUUCUGGGCUUUUGCUAUAUGUAGAUAAUAUGAAGUUCAUUACCAAGCCUGUUUAUGGGCCUAAGGCUCUGCCUGACCUUUUCUUUCACAUCACGACAAAGAAGAAAUGAAAAGAUUUUAUUUACCUGUCCAAUUAUUAGACUAGAAGCUAAAAAUGACCCUGUCUAUCUGUUGUUAAACUAUCUACACUUGUUCAUGUAGUUCACAUGUAAUUUGAUAUUAUUGUAGAACAUUGAGGUUAUAUUGAGCUUGAAGUUUUGCAUGCAUCCAAGCAGAUACUGUUGUUCAAUUGUAUGUCAGUGCGAGAUCCUCAGUUGCUUCUUCCACAUCUGAUGAAAACCUGUGCUAGUCAUGGUGUCUGCUUCAAGAAGGCGCUCUUUGUACCUAAUGUAUCAGUCUAUUACAAAGUUGGAUCUCAUGCUUUACCCCCAACAGAUCCUCAAGUUGAUUUGUCAUGGCAGUUUACUCUGCAAAAAUUAUGGGAAGACCUUGUCCAGGGUGAUAAAGGAGGGGAGGCCAAUAGAACAGAUGCUGUUUGUGAGGAAGUUAAAGAUGAUACAGGAACUAGUGUUAGUACUUGUGAAAACAGUGCAGUCUUUCCUUCUCUCCCAUUGGCAAUUAAAUGGCUUAGGGACAGCGUCUACAAGAAUCAAUCUGUUAGUUUCCAGGUAAUGCUGAUUAAUGUAUUCUGCUCUAUAUUUUAUAACCUGCAUAGUCAAAUUUUAUUUUCUGUUUCUGAAAAUAAGGUCAACGUGGAUUCCUCAUGUGGAAGUGAAAGUCAUUUUCCUUUCCAAUGUAGUUUUACGUGGCGAAUCUUAUUUUGAACUUCAAACAUCAAUUGCACAUUUGAGGAACUUUUGUUGUGGAAUAUCUUGACAUGAAUAAUCAGUGCCAUUGCUAUUCUUUAUUCUCCUAUAAGUUUUUACUUACCAGACGUUUUUUUCAACAUACUUUUCAAGGAGGAUGUCCAUCCAGUCCACUUCUCACUGGCUAACUCCCAAAAGUGGGAUAUAUAUAUAUAUAUAUAUGAGCAUAUAUUUAUAUAUUUAAUGUUGAAUUGCUUUCAGCAAGGUGUUGGUAAGUGAGAAGCAAUUAAAUUAUUUUACGCUAUCUGUAUCAAUAUUUAAUUUCCUCACCCUGAUUCAUCAGGUUCUUGUUACUGGUUCAUUACAUCUUGUGGGUGACGUGCUGAGGUUAGUCAAGUAGUUAGACAUGAUGCCUAGUUGAAGCUGUCCGGUUGCAUGUUCUCCUGCUUGAGAUAUGUGCUGGUGUAGAUGGCAAGCAGUCAAAAGAUUCUGAUCAUUUUCCGUUUUGAGUUCUCUGUUAGUGCUUGCCAAUUGUGCUCCCACAGUAUGCUUUGUUGUUAAACCUGUUGACUGUUCAUGUUAAUAUACUAGGAGUGUUUGAGAGAUGUAUAAUGUUGCAUUUUGAAUAUGAAUUGGCAGAAAUUUCAAUUUUUUAC
rnacentral:misc_RNA from 1 species